GGCGACGGCGCUGGCCGAUUCGGAAGAAAUCACAGAGCUUCCCGAGCUGGCGAGUCGACUGAGCGAGGCGAUCGAGCUGUACAAGAGUGACAACGUGAAAUCGUCGAUGCAGGGAGAGGAAGGGUUCGAAGCGAUGUCGAGCAAUUUCGAGCAGCUGGAAGGGCUGCUGUUUGGGAGUGAAGAAAAACCUGACAUAUUGGCGUUUACCAGCUGGAACGGGACGGGAGUGGAGCGUCAGGAUUUCGGGUGGGGUAGCCCGG
rnacentral:lncRNA from 1 species